UCAUCUCAAAAUUUAAUGAAUCAUUCGGUAACUUGGGGUUUCUUCAUCUUUUGAUCGUUUUUGAUGAUUCUUUCACCGAUUUUCCAAGAAUCUGAUUCUCUAUCAUCCUAAGACUUCAAUUCAAGUGUUUUCUUUCAGGAUUAAUAUAUGAUGAUGUGGUCGAGCUUCCAUUCAUUGUUCCAGAAGUCUCAGUUAUGGGAGGUCUUAUUCUUCUUAGAGCUGCAGUAGUCAUGAUAAUAGAGCUAACCAGUAGCAAACGAUUUUAUUUUAUUUUAUUUUAUGCUAUGACAUAAUGAUGUAUUUUGGAAAAGUGAAUUAUCCAGAAAUUUAAUAUAUGGUUAACUGGUAUUUUAUGCAGAGUGGUUUGUGUGUUUUCA